rnacentral:rRNA from 1 species
CCUACGGGUGGCAGCAGUCGAGAAUCAUUCACAAUGGGGGAAACCCUGAUGGUGCGACGCCGCGUGGGGGAAUGAAGGUCUUCGGAUUGUAAACCCCUGUCAUGUGGGAGCAAAUUAAAAAGAUAGUACCACAAGAGGAAGAGACGGCUAACGCUGUGCCAGCAGCCGCGGUAAUACAGAGGUCUCAAGCGUUGUUCGGAAUCACUGGGCGUAAGGCGUGCGUAGGCUGUUUGGUAAGUCGUGUGUGAAAGGCGCGGGCUCAACCCGCGGACGGCACAUGAUACUGCGAGACUAGAGUAAUGGAGGGGGAACCGGAAUUCUCGGUGUAGCAGUGAAAUGCGUAGAUAUCGAGAGGAACCCUCGUGGCGAAGGCGGGUUCCUGGACAUUAACUGACGCUGAGGCACGAAGGCCAGGGGAGCGAAAGGGAUUAGAUACCCGGGUAGUC